UAUUGUGUUCACUGUUCAUGCAACAUUAGAUCACCGUAGCAACAGUGGACAGUGAGGGUAGAAAGAAUUGCCAGUCUGGCAGUGACCAUGGUGUCAAGUUGAAAAGUGCAGCUGCAGGCCACCAGCGUGUCGUCGUCUCUGAACUGUUUUUCUGUGGACACACGCCGGACAAGCAAAGUGUGUGACCACACACACACUCUCUCUCCCAGCUGCUGUGUUUCACUGCUGCUAGCCCUGGCUCCUCCCUCCUUGCCUCCCAAUUGGCUGCUGAAGUUUGGCGGGCUUUGCUCCGUCCUCGUGACUACUACUGCUGCUGCAGUCAUCGAGGCAACACGCGGGAACAAAAGUUCAGCAGGGUGGUUGCCCCGGCGACACAUCCCCGAACACAACCUGCUCUGUAAACAGGCCACCGGCUCGAGGCCAAGAGACUGAAACCCGCAGCAGGGACAGAAACAGUUUCACAGAUGGGCGAGUUCUGUUUGAGUCCACAAAACAGAACAACCAGGAGUCUGUGAAGAAGAUAAAACUCAAUGUUUAUCUGAAAUAAAGGUUUUUAUUCUUGAGAACAGAUGUGUACUCAAAACAACACUGUGUGCAUUUCACACAUGUCCAUGUUACCAACGAUGUGUGUGUCUUUCUGUAUGUUCAAGUGUGUUCUGUAUGUUUUAACACAUAUGAUGCAUCUCAGGGGCAAAACAGUCAGAUGUGUUAUUCUGACACUGAGAUAAUGUUUGUUUUAAUAGUAUUGCUGGAAUAAUUCUCUCACUUACUGUGUAAAAAAAACAUGUUACAGUAUAAAUUAAAGAGAGACUAUAUAACUUUUGAGGAAACCAA